UACAGAGGGGGCCAGCGUUAUUCGGAAUUAUUGGGCGUAAAGGGCGCGUAGGCGGCCAUGCGUGUCUUCCGUGAAAUCCCUCGGCUUAACUGAGGACGUGCGGAAGAAACUGCAAGGCUCGAGUCCGGGAGAGGGGGGGUGGAAUUCCCAGUCGUAGCGGUGAAAUGCGUAGAAUGAUUGGGAGGAACACCGGUGGCGAAGGCGGCCCCCGUGGACCGGUACU
rnacentral:rRNA from 1 species